rnacentral:rRNA from 1 species
CCUAACACAUGCAAGUCGAGCGGUAACAGGGGUAGCUUGCUACCCGCUGACGAGCGGCGGACGGGUGAGUAAUGCAUAGGAAUCUGCCCGAUAGUGGGGGAUAACCUGGGGAAACCCAGGCUAAUACCGCAUACGUCCUACGGGAGAAAGGGGGCUUCGGCUCCCGCUAUCGGAUGAGCCUAUGUCGGAUUAGCUAGUUGGUGAGGUAAAGGCUCACCAAGGCGACGAUCCGUAGCUGGUCUGAGAGGAUGAUCAGCCACAUCGGGACUGAGACACGGCCCGAACUCCUACGGGAGGCAGCAGUGGGGAAUAUUGGACAAUGGGGGGAACCCUGAUCCAGCCAUGCCGCGUGUGUGAAGAAGGCCCUCGGGUUGUAAAGCACUUUCAGUGAGGAAGAACGCCUGGUGGUUAAUACCCAUCAGGAAAGACAUCACUCACAGAAGAAGCACCGGCUAACUCCGUGCCAGCAGCCGCGGUAAUACGGAGGGUGCGAGCGUUAAUCGGAAUUACUGGGCGUAAAGCGCGCGUAGGUGGCUUGAUAAGCCGGUUGUGAAAGCCCCGGGCUCAACCUGGGAACGGCAUCCGGAACUGUCAAGCUAGAGUGCAGGAGAGGAAGGUAGAAUUCCCGGUGUAGCGGUGAAAUGCGUAGAGAUCGGGAGGAAUACCAGUGGCGAAGGCGGCCUUCUGGACUGACACUGACACUGAGGUGCGAAAGCGUGGGUAGCAAACAGGAUUAGAUACCCUGGUAGUCCACGCCGUAAACGAUGUCGACCAGCCGUUGGGUGCCUAGCGCACUUUGUGGCGAAGUUAACGCGAUAAGUCGACCGCCUGGGGAGUACGGCCGCAAG